CAGUCAUUGCGCUAAUGCUAGUUAGCAUUGGCUUGCGAAACUACUAACUUCCUUCAUACUGGACACAGAAACAUUAAAAUUGUAUCCCACGAGUUCAUCAGCCUCUUGGGUAAUAGAUAAAGGACAUCAUUGCCAAAAGGUUAUGGUCUGUGGUUUGUCUGUUUCCCCGGGUGGCAUUCGUAUACGUUUUCGUGCCCACAACUUGAAACGGAACACCAUUGAAUCGGGAGCCUUCUACUCUCUCAGCUGAGUUGUUUUCCUGAGACAGAGAUAUUAGAAUGGUAUCCCACGACUUCCUCAGCCUCUUGGGUAAUAGAUAAAGGACAUCUGAGCCUACUAGCUGAGUUUUUUUUCUCCUGAGCCUACUAGCUGAUUUUUUUUUUUCCUGAGCCUACUAGCUGAUUUUUUUUUUUCUGAGCCUACUAGCUGAGGUUUUUUUUUCCUGAGCCUACUAGCUGAGUUGUUUUUUUUUUCCUGAGCCUACUAGCUGAGUUGUUUUUUUUCCUGAGCCUACUAGCUGAGUUGUUUUUUUUCCUGAGCCUACUAGCUGAGUUGUUUUCCUGCCGAAGGCUGUGCAUUUGUUGAAGGUCAAAAAUGUGUUAUUACUAUUUAACAAUGUUGCUCUGUCAAAUAGAAUAACACUCCCUUUUUGGACUCUCGACUGAAUUUUGGAUUUCCAACAAAAAUCUCUCGACCCCAAAAAACAAUGUUUACAUGUUUUAUUUGGCGCUGUGGCAGUCAAUUGAAAAACAUUCUAACAGUAUUUCUGAUUGUCUUCUCGAGAUUCCGAGGUGGAUGACCGUUCAAAUCGGGUUUUUUUCCUCAGUCGGAGCUCGCUUAUGUUUCAGUUCCCAGUUGUCUUGAAUGCGCUGAAGUCGGAAGGCAGAGAUUUCCCGAGUUCCCAAAUGUUUUGAAUGCGGCAUUAAUGUUCAGUGUGCCAUGGUAUUUUCCCUUUUGAGUCAUCAACCUAAACUCCUCAGUAGUGACCCGUGAAUUAAUUUGGUCACAUGACAGCUCAAUCAGCUGUUCGAUUUCACUUACCAGCAUGUCAACUGAGCCAGAAUCACAGUCAAACGGUUUAGGAAGUCGGUUCCCAAAGUUCUCUUCCAAGUGUAUGAGGUGAGUAGUCAUCACUCGUGCGGGACACUUACUGAUGCUCUUUUCUGUUUAGAGACAUGCACAGCCGAGAAGGUAGGAAGGGGUCUCUUUUGAAAGUCCAGUAAGAACUGGAACCCCCCCCCCGAUAACCACCAAGCCUUGGUGUGAAAUAGAACAGGGUCAUCCCCUGAUCCCAUUUCUCCACAUAGUUUUGCGAUAAGUCUGCGCGCGCAGUGGAUGUGGUUUGAGUCGCUACCUGCUGCAUGGUGUCUCCCGCGUUCUCAGAGCUCAGCACUUUUGCUGCCAGAUGCUCAAGAUACGCGACAUGGGAUCUUUUUGUGUCAAUAAAAUGAAUUAGCUUAUGCGAGAUAUAUCUCGGUGGAAACGCUUGUAUGCGCAAAUAUUGAUAUAAUAACAAUAAUUUCGAAGUACAUUUUGGAGUGACGCGAUGACAUGUUGUGUGGUUCUCCCCACUACGACUGAUCAGGAAAGCGUGCAGUUUCUUAGACUACAGAUUAAAUACAUUAAGGUGAUAAACUCGAUGCUCCUUUCCAAUAAAUAUCGAAGGUGUUAUUCUGGUGACAGGAUAAUCGAUGCUUGGCUGCCGAUUGUCCAUAAUAAUAAUGUAAUCGUAUAGGUUAUUUGUGCACAACGAGACAACAGUGCGCAGAUAGCCCUGUUGCCUCGAGCGCGCACGUGCCAAUACCAGAGUGACCACGCUCGCUAUGUAACGCAAACGCGUUUUGUGAGAGAACCAUCAGAAAGAGUUGAAAAAUGACAUGGAAAACACAUUUAACUUGUUGUUUUUUAAAAUUCGCUACAUGGGAAUUUAACCGCAAAAGGUUAUUUCUCUGAGCACUACGUAUGCGUCAUCACACUCCCUCUCGCCUGAUUGGUCGAGUAGGCGGGCCUUCUGACUUUGUGGCUGUGAUAACUAGUGAGACCCGCUCAUCUUCGUUGGAUAACAGAUGGUAUGAAAGGUGAGGACUCGUUUCCCCUCUGACCUAUCCCUAUUACCCUUCCCAUUGGACUGGCCCUCUAUUAUCUCAUUGAGAGCUCUCUGCACCAAUCAGAAGAGACUACUUGUUAAGAGCGGCGAGGGGCCAAAAACGGGAAAACGCAUGAGCACCGUCCGUUCUGCGGCUGUUUGGAAAACUGAAAGCUGGUACGUUUAUAGAAGGGAGAUCGACGGAGGGAGGCAAACAUUAAAAAGACAAAGCAGGUGUAGAGAGGUCGUUGGGAGGACAGAGAAAGGGGAGAGAACAGACUCAAAGAAAGCUAAUUAGCAUUUAUCUAUUUGUAAUACUGAGAAAAAAGGGUAAUUUAGAUGUAACAAUAUAUUACACUGAGUUCACCAUCCUGCAGAGAAAUGUGUGUAUUGGCCCUUGUGGUUCGAGUGUCGGGGG
ensembl:lncRNA